GUCCUUGUAGCGCAAUGGAUAGCGCGUUGGACUUCUAAUCCAAAAGUCUUGUGUUCAAAUCCACCUGGGAUG